UGUUUUAAAUCAAAGAUAGACAUAAAUUGUCGGAGUAACUCGUCGGGUCAAUCAGCAUCUCUAAAGA